rnacentral:rRNA from 1 species
GCAUAUCAAUAAGCGGAGGAAAAGAAACCAACUGGGAUUGCCUUAGUAACGGCGAGUGAAGCGGCAAAAGCUCAAAUUUGAAAUCUGGUACCUUCGGUGCCCGAGUUGUAAUUUGGAGAGGGCAACUUUGGGGCCGUUCCUUGUCUAUGUUCCUUGGAACAGGACGUCAUAGAGGGUGAGAAUCCCGUGUGGCGAGGAGUGCGGUUCUUUGUAAAGUGCCUUCGAAGAGUCGAGUUGUUUGGGAAUGCAGCUCUAAGUGGGUGGUAAAUUCCAUCUAAAGCUAAAUAUUGGCGAGAGACCGAUAGCGAACAAGUACAGUGAUGGAAAGAUGAAAAGAACUUUGAAAAGAGAGUGAAAAAGUACGUGAAAUUGUUGAAAGGGAAGGGCAUUUGAUCAGACAUGGUGUUUUGUGCCCUCUGCUCCUUGUGGGUAGGGGAAUCUCGCAUUUCACUGGGCCAGCAUCAGUUUCGGUGGCAGGAUAAAUCCAUAGGAAUGUAGCUUGCCUCGGUAAGUAUUAUAGCCUGUGGGAAUACUGCCAGCUGGGACUGUGGACCGCGACGUAAGUCAAGGAUGCUGGCAUAAUGGUUAUAUGCCGCCCGUCUUGAAACACGGACC